rnacentral:rRNA from 1 species
UCUUCCACAAUGGACGCAAGUAUGAUGGAGCAACGCCGCGUGAGUGAAGAAGGGUUUCGGCUCGUGAAACGCUGUCGUUGGAGAAGAACCGGGGGUAGAGUAACUGUUAUCCCCUUGACGGUAUCCAACCAGAAAGCCACGGCUAACUACGUGCCAGCAGCCGCGGUAAUACGUAGGUGGCAAGCGUUGUCCGGAUUUAUUGGGCGUAAAGCGAGCGCAGGCGGUUUUUUAAGUCUGAUGUGAAAGUCUUCGGCUUAACCGAAGAAGGGCAUCAGAAACUGAGAAGCUUGAAGACAGAAAAGGAAAGUGGAACUCCAUGUGUAGCGGUGAAAUGCGUAGAUAUAUGGAAGAACACCAGUGGCGAAGGCGGCUUUCUGGUCUGUUACUGACGCUGAGGCUCGAAAGUAUGGGGAGCGAACAGG